rnacentral:rRNA from 1 species
ACAGGAGAAGCUUGCUUUCUUGCUGACGAGCGGCGGACGGGUGAGUAAUGUAUGGGGAUCUGCCCGAUAGAGGGGGAUAACUACUGGAAACGGUGGCUAAUACCGCAUGACGUCUACGGACCAAAGCAGGGGCUCUUCGGACCUUGCGCUAUCGGAUGAACCCAUAUGGGAUUAGCUAGUAGGUGAGGUAAUGGCUCACCUAGGCGACGAUCUCUAGCUGGUCUGAGAGGAUGAUCAGCCACACUGGGACUGAGACACGGCCCAGACUCCUACGGGAGGCAGCAGUGGGGAAUAUUGCACAAUGGGCGCAAGCCUGAUGCAGCCAUGCCGCGUGUAUGAAGAAGGCCUUAGGGUUUUUAAAGCCCUUUCUGCGGGGAGGAAGGUGAUAAAGUUAAUACCCUUUUUCAAUUUGAAAUU